rnacentral:rRNA from 1 species
GACGAACCGUGCGAACGUUAUUCGGAAUCAUUGGGCUUAAAGGGCGCGUAGGCGGCGGUGUAAGUUGGAAGUGAAAUCCCAUCGGCUCAACCGUGGAAUUGCUCCCAGUACUGCAUCGCUCGAGGGGGAUAGGGGUUUGCGGAACUACCGGUGGAGCGGUGAAAUGUGUUGAUAUCGGUGGGAACGCCAGUGGCGAAAGCGGCAAACUUGACCCCUCCUGACGCUGAGGCGCGAAAGCUAGGGGAGCAAACGGG